UCUAGUGGCGCACGGGUGAGUAACACGUGAGUAACCUGCCCCCGAGAGCGGGAUAGCCCUGGGAAACUGGGAUUAAUACCGCAUAGUAUCGAAAGAUUAAAGCAGCAAUGCGCUUGGGGAUGGGCUCGCGGCCUAUUAGUUAGUUGGUGAGGUAACGGCUCACCAAGGCGAUGACGGGUAGCCGGUCUGAGAGGAUGUCCGGCCACACUGGAACUGAGACACGGUCCAGACUCCUACGGGAGGCAGCAUG
rnacentral:rRNA from 1 species